UGUAGGAGUGACUUCGCACUCGCCGAGUGUGUCGCCUCUCCUCCACCACGCCGAUGUCCGCCACCGCCUCCGCCCCCGCCCUCGCCGCUCCUCCGCCUCCUCCCGCUCAUCCUCCAUCUCACCGCCCUCACGCAGCUGGAAGCGCCACGCCACUUCCGCCGCCGCCACGGAGCACUCACGCGCGCUCCGGGACGCUCACCCCCGCAGGACGCGCACCACCUGUUCGACGAAUCGCUGCGGCAUGUCACUCCGGUCCAGGAGCGCCCCCCCGAAACAACCUUCUCCCUGCACUCUCCCGGCGGGCCCCAGGUGGAAUCCAUCCCAAGAAGAACCCCUCCUUGGCGGCGCACCUUCUUGCCGGAACUCUUCUCGGCUGCCUAGGUCGCCAUGCCGCUGCUGGCACCGCCAUGGCAAGUCCUCUCCAUGCACUGCCAGGCUACACCUUCUAAUCCGCUUGGUCAUGCUAAUUGAUGGUAUUGUGGUUCAGCGAGAGAAACCACAUACAAAAGCACCCACCUAUUAUUGACAAGGGAUCAUCUAGAAUAUCACUAGCUAAAACCUUCAUCUGAUCUCACUAAGCAAGAAUCUGAGGCAACUCUUCAUGGCUGAAACCAUGCAUCUUUCGGUGGUAAAACUGAUAGUCUGAUCACAAGUCGGCUCACGUCUUGUUCACGUCUCUUGAUCUUCUUGGAGUCGUCGUGACCAAGUGAAGGUAAGCUGUGGUGAUGCCAGUUGAGAGGUUGUGAAUGAACAAGCUUUUUCCCCUGCCUGAAAGGUUGUAUGUUUACCAUGAGGAGGGAAUAUUAUGCAUUUGCAUCUGCUUACCUACCAUCUGAAAGUAAGAUCCUCGUAGUGAGGCCUUGCUCAUGGUCAGCUUUUCCUCUUAUUUUUAACCCUGUGGAAGAGGCAUAAUUUAAUUCUGGUGAUUUCAGAGCUGCUGCUGAAAGUGUUCUUGGUAACACCUGCCCUUCCCCAUGUUUACUUACAGUUGCAAAUACAAUACGUGUGCCUACACCGAAGAUCAGCAUCAGGCCAAAAGGCUGUUAGUACCUUAGACUCGCUUUAAAUCUUUGCCAUAUAAUAUAAUUUGACUAGAAGGCUGAAAGACGGCUGAAGAGUGGAAUUAUUUUCUUCUAAUACGAUCACGCCAACACAAAAAUGAUGAUAUCAUAUUGUGUUGUGUCCCCCUAGAUCAUUUUGUUUGUUCAGGUUCUGUCAAGUUUAUGAACACAAAAACUGCUUGCAUGUGUAUUUCAUAAGAUUAUUGUUCCAAGAUUAAAUGUUUGGGCGCAGCAUGUAUGUAUUCUUUUGGCUAAAUAUGGUGGGUGCUUUUCUUUUCGAUUGUGUGGCAGGUGUUGGGGUGCCCUCUGUUGGCUAUCCUGUUGGUUAGGUUUUCCCCUGUAGUUGAACCUGACUAAGUUAUUUGCCAUAGUUUUUUUUUGGCUGAUGAGAAGGCGUAUCACUAUGAUUUCAAUUUUGAAGUUUCAAUACUCCUUUUUACGUCUCAUUUUCUUGCCGAAUAUUUUUUAUUUACACUGAAAACGGUUGCUUCUUAACUAUGAAGCAUGAUAGCCAUCAUUUUCCAUGUGCUGCUGCUGAUUACUUAUUCAACUCUCCUUUUUGGUUCUAAACUUAUGUCUAGGAUGACUAGGCUGAUGUAACCGAGUACAAGUUUCAACGCUACCGAGUUAGGCACUUGCACUUACAUUACUAAAACAAGUCAUGGAAAUGCAACCUCUUGACACUCUUAAUUUUGUGCAUAUACUUGGUCCUGCUUGAGUCAACCUGUCAGUAAUUAUGUGUGUUUUCUUUCUGAUAUUGAAUUCAUGUUCUCUUACUUAUUGGCUAGCCAAAUUGACUUUGGCAUCUAGCUUACAUGCAGCUCAUUCUUUGUGCAACUAGUCACUUACUUAUCAGCAAAGACUACUAGUCAAAUUCUUUUGACCCGCUAUACCGUCAUACUACAUGCAUUUUUCACCUUCUUCUUUGCUCUUCAUAGCUGCAUCCAUGCAGCUGUACUGCCUAGGAUAUUUCUUGCCAGCAUGCAGGCACGAUUAAUGUUAACAACUAGUACUACUUGUAGCAAUAUUAGAGCUAACAAAUAGUGAACUACAAAUAAGCAAAAAACUUUAACAGGUACAGGGUAACCAUCAAACAAAUGGCGCAGCGAAGCGUGCUUACGCUUCUAGGUAUAUGAUCAUAUCUCCAACCAUAUUAUAUAAAUUUGAGGCAAUUUUGAAUAAGAACACGAAAAAAUUUGUCGUUGAAAUCAGAAUCAUAUAUUGGUAUAUCAAGCCCCUAAGUGCUACAAAGAUUAACUAAUCUACAGACAUGCAGGCGCACAUUGACCACAAAAAUUCUAUAUAUCUUUUCCCUAGAAAUACCAAACAUGGCUACUAGCUAGAUUCUUAUUUUCACCAUGUGCUUAGUAUCCUAUAAAUUUAAACGACAGUACUUUCCAUGGCUGAGCUGUUGACCCAGGCACACCCCAUACAAGCACUUGAUACCUGCCGACCUUAUUAUUCUCAUCUGCAGCUUUUAUCUCAAGAAAGUAGUUGUUGCCAAUUCCCGAAGGCUGCAUGCUCACAUACAACACAUCGACAAGGGUCAUCUCCUUCUUGUAUACCAACUUGUGCAUUAAUACCGCAAAGCGUGCGAUUUGCCAGUACAAAGUGUCACGGAAGUUAUGAACUUGCACCCAUCCAUUAGUACCAGUAGGGGGACCAGGUGGUGACGUUGUUGCUGAAGGACUAGGUGGUGGUGGUGUCGGUGCCGGCGGCGGUGGUUGGUUAGCUUGGUACGUUGGAGGUGUGGCAGGUGGACUUAAUGGUGAUGAUGGCGAUGGUGGAGGAGGUUGCUCAUUAGUCGGGGACAUUGGAGGUGUUGCAGGAAGGCUGGAUGGAGGUGGUGUUGGAACGGAUGGAGGAUUCAAUGGAGGCGGUGGCGGUUGAUAGUUAGGUUCGUAACUUGGAGGUGUAACAGGGGAACUAUAUGGAGGUGUUUGUGGGGUGGCUGGAGCUAGUGGUGGGGGGCUAGAUGAUGGCGGUGGUGGAGGGGAUUGAUCACUAUGUUGGUAGGGUGGGGGUGGUGUAGGAGGACUAGAAUCUAAUGGAGGUGGAGCCAUGGGUGGAUAAUAAGACUGGGGUGGCGGUGGUGAUGGCGAACCAUUACCUUGGUUUGGGGAUGGCUCGGGCGAUGGCGGUGAUGUCUCUGCUUCACUGCAAUCCUUUUCUGGUGGUCCUCGACCGUUAUUACUAUGACC